GACUAUUACAUGUAUCUAUGCUAUUACAGAGGAUUACGUGUAAUUGGCAAAUUGAUCAAAUUAUAACUAGUUACUAUAAUUACCGUAUAAAUAUCUCCGUGUCUGUUAAUUAUCAUCGAACGGAGGCAGGAUCGAUCAGUUUCGCUUAAGAUCGCAUUUGGGUCAGUUAAUGGUAACUGGCUACCAAAGCAGCGUACAUACAUCGAGAGAAGUUGAAGCUGUGGGCGCCACGGCCGCGAUUAUGUACUUAUAGCUGAUCCGUCAGCCUUACACGACAACCUCCCACAAAAAUAUACACAAAUUGCUGUUCGGCAGGGUACGGAAACCUCCGAGGAUUGGUCACCGCGCCUCGCCUCGCCUCCUUUUUAUCGAUCUUCCCACGUGCCAGCCGGUACCCUGUAAAAGUGAAGCUAAACCUCCGUACCGGGUGUCCGACGAAGGAUCGAGUCACCUGGACGGUUCCACCCCCGCACAAGGACUCCUGAAUUACGCACUACUUCGCCUGGCAGUCUAUGCCACCCGAAGAAACCAUCAUAAUUGUAUCCGAGGUGCAGCGCGUUGUUUAUAAAAUAGACCGGAAGUAGAGGAAGAACCGCUGCUGUAUUCCGAAUCCCCAGAAUCACAAAAGUCUGAUUGAAUGCACCUAUACCUAUAGUUUCGCCUCGUUAUUUCUUACCUCGUUAACGAAGGGAUUCCAAUUCUUUUGAAAACGAAGCGUGAUAUUUCUUCCAGAAAAUAUUCGACGUCUCUCAAAAUUAUUAAUUGUAAUAUUGUCGAGUUUCCCGACAUAUCUCAUGCAUAAAAGCACCAAGAACGAAUAUAUUACCUAUUUCAACUCUGAAUUUCUCCAUUUGCCCUGCCCGCGCAAGGUGACUCACCCUCGUUUGCAUACCUGUUUUUGGCUAUCGUGAAACUUUAUUUGGUUAUCGUAAUUCGGAAGACCGCGAAUCACGCGACCCGCAGAAUACAUACAUAUACCUACAGAUACAGUGUAGUAAAACUUCAUUCCGCAUUCACGGAUCCCGCUGUUGAUUCUCCACAAUUUAACAAUUAAUAUUGUUUACGGGCAUACGUGCGAAUCCGUAGGCGGUUGUGGGUAGAAUUAUACGUAGAGAAGACCCAAGUUUUUCAGAAUCAACUCAUAUACAGCCACAGAAGCGGUUCACCAUCCCGUGAAAAUACUGAGGUCUACUGACCCGACCGCAUUUCCCUUUUGUAAUAUCCUCGAUCUUCUGAGUUUUUUCUUUUUUUAAUAUUUUUCGCUUUCCCCAAUUCAAAGUGUGUUUGUCGCACCGGUUCA
rnacentral:misc_RNA from 1 species